GGCUAAAACUGAGUGAGAUUUUGCGUAUCACGAAAAUUCGCUCAAUAUUAGAAAAAAUCAGUGCUCUUUUUUAUUUUUUAUUUCAAGUUUAGAACACGAAAUACGCACUGUCUUUAAUUAGAUGGCCAGCAGCUAAUGUAUCGAAAAAGUUUGAAUGAUAUUUGAAACAGGAACUAUGUAAACUCUUUUUAGUUAAACUUUGAUACUGUUCUCAUUUUAAAAAAUAUAUGAUGUCAGUGUAUGUAAAAUGACUAUUAAAAUGGAAUUGAUACCUAUCUUGGGUCUCUAAAUAUCAUUUAAUUUGUUGUAUGUGGUCAACAUCAAGGGUGUCUUUAAUUAUGUGACCACCACUGUAUAUACUCUUAGAGGAUAACCACCCCUUAGGAAAUACCCCCCGGCGACAGAGGAUAUAAAAGCAGCGCCACGUGGCCGAGAGCUCAUUUUGUCGGUUGGCGCUCAUUGGCAAACCAAUGGAAAUCAAUUCAUUUGAAAGUAUAUCAAUUUACAUUGUUAAAUGCACCAACUAUGUCAAAGAAGAUACAUACAAGUUUUCUUUUACAAGAGACAGCAUUGUGAAUGUCUAGCUGAAGAUGACUUAUACUCUCCUGUGCUGAUCUGCCUCUUCGAAAGCUGAAUUGAUUAUUAGAUAUUUCAGUCGGCCCCCGAUAAACAACGGAUUUACCAUCUUCGUAUAAAUCGUGCUCCUGGUAAUCGGUAGCUUCGGUUGAAGAAUCGUUCACUCUGUAACAUCUUCCUUGUACCCACAUUACAUCUGGUUUAAGAACAUUUGCCAUAACGAGCA